UACGUAGGGUGCAAGCGUUGUCCGGAAUUAUUGGGCGUAAAGAGCUCGUAGGUGGCCUGUCGCGUCGGCUGUGAAAACUCGGGGCUCAACCCCGAGCUUGCAGUCGAUACGGGCAGGCUAGAGUUCGGCAGGGGAGACUGGAAUUCCUGGUGUAGCGGUGAAAUGCGCAGAUAUCAGGAGGAACACCGGUGGCGAAGGCGGGUCUCUGGGCCGAUACUGACGCUGAGGAGCGAAAGCGUGGGGAGCGAACAGG
rnacentral:rRNA from 1 species